GGCUUCCUGGUGGUCUUUGGGACUUCGCAAUCUGGGCACAACAGCCACAAUAUGGGCUGUUUCCCACUCACCACCACACUGAUUUUGGAUACAGCAAGGGAGGAGUCAUGAGGAAAUUUAAAACAGCAACAGAGACAUGGGAAUUAUAAGGAAAAGAACACAGAACACUACUAGCACAUGCUGGUGUCUGACCCGCGUAAAUCAUCUAUCAAAUGGGAACAUUUCCAUCUUGUGUACCGUAUGGUGAUAGAAAUUUG